rnacentral:misc_RNA from 1 species
CCCGCGCGAUCUCCGCCAGAUCGGCAGCAUCGCGAAGUCCCAUAUUGAGACCCUGUGCGCCGAUCGGCGGCAGCACAUGCGCGGCUUCGCCGACCAGCGCGAUGCGUUUCGCCGCGAGAUCGGGGUUCUCGAUCGCCAGUGGAAACACAUGACGGCCCGGCGCGACGGUGAGUUUUCCAAGGAUCGAAUGCGAUUGCUUC